rnacentral:rRNA from 1 species
UAACCUGCCCAAGAGAUCGGGAUAACACCGGGAAACAGAUGCUAAUACCGGAUAACAACAGAUGAUGCCUAUCAACUGUUUAAAAGAUGGUUCUGCUAUCACUCUUGGAUGGACCUGCGGUGCAUUAGCUAGUUGGUAGGGUAACGGCCUACCAAGGCGAUGAUGCAUAGCCGAGUUGAGAGACUGAUCGGCCACAUUGGGACUGAGACACGGCCCAAACUCCUACGGGAGGCAGCAGCU